rnacentral:misc_RNA from 1 species
GAUGAAGAACGUAGCGAAAUGCGAUAAGUAAUGUGAAUUGCAGAACUCAGUGAAUCAUCGAAUCUUUGAACGCACAUUGCGCCCGCCAGCACUCUGGCGGGCAUGCCUGUCCGAGCGUCAUUUCAACCCUCGCGCCGUCCCUCCAGGGGGCUCGGCGCGGUGUUGGGGGACACGGCCCCGGCCGCCCCCGAAAUGCAGUGGCGACCCCGCCGCGGCCCCUCCAGCGCAGUAAGCACGCUCGCUACGGGAGGCCCGGUGGACGCGUCCGCCGUAAAACGCCCAACUCUUCAGAAGUUGACCUCGGAUCAGGUAGGGAUACCCGCUGAACUUAAGCAUAUCAAUAAGCGGAGGA